CAGCAGCCGCGGGAAUACGUAGGGUGCGAGCGUUAAUUGGAAUUACUGGGCGUAAAGCGUGCGCAGGCGGUUCGUUAAGACAGAUGUGAAAUCCCCGGGCUUAACCUGGGAACUGCAUUUGUGACUGGCGAGCUAGAGUAUGGCAGAGGGGGGUAGAAUUCCACGUGUAGCGGUGAAAUGCGUAGAGAUGUGGAGGAAUACCGAUGGCGAAGGCAGCCCCCUGGGCCAAUACUGACGCUCAUGCACGAAAGCGUGGGGAGCAAACAGGAUUAGAUACCCCCGUAGUCCCUGUCUCUUAUAC
rnacentral:rRNA from 1 species